rnacentral:rRNA from 1 species
UGGGGGAAUAUUGCACAAUGGGCGAAAGCCUGAUGCAGCAACGCCGCGUGAGUGAUGAAGGCCUUCGGGUUGUAAAGCUCUGUCUUUUGGGACGAUAAUGACGGUACCAAAGGAGGAAGCCACGGCUAACUACGUGCCAGCAGCCGCGGUAAUACGUAGGUGGCAAGCGUUGUCCGCAUUUACUGGGCGUAAAGGAUGCGUAGGCGGAUUUUUAAGUGAGAUGUGAAAACCCUAAGCUUAACUUGGGGACUGCAUUUCAUACUGGAAAUCUAGAGUGCGGGAGAGGAGAAUGGAAUUCCUAGUGUAGCGGUGAAAUGCGUAGAGAUUAGGAAGAACACCAGUGGCGAAGGCGAUUCUCUGGACCGUAACUGACGCUGAGGCAUGAAAGCGUGGGUAGCAAACAGGAUUAGAUACCCUGGUAGUCCACGCCGUAAACGAUGAGUACUAGGUGUAGGAGGUAUCGACCCCUUCUGUGCCGCAGUUAACACAAUAAGUACUCCGCCUGGGAAGUACGAUCGCAAGAUUAAAACUCAAAUGAAUUGACGGGGUCAUAGCUG